GAACGCUGGCGGCGUGGAUAAGACAUGCAAGUCGAACGAAAAGUGAUUUAGUUUACUAAUGAUCUUUUAGUGGCGGACGGGUUAGUAACGCGUGAGCAACCUGCCUUAAAGAGGGGGAUAGUCCUGGGAAACUGGGUUUAAUACCGCAUAAGCUCUACGGAGUAAAGUGGCCUUCGGGUCACGCUUUAAGAUGGGCUCGCGUCCUAUCAGCUUGUUGGUGAGGUAAAAGCUCACCAAGGCGACGACGGGUAGUUGGUCUGAGAGGACGAUCAGCAACACUGGAACUGAGACACGGUCCAGACACCUACGGGUGGCAGCAGUCGAGAAUCAUUCACAAUGGACGAAAGUCUGAUGGUGCAACGCCGCGUGUGGGAUGAAGGCCUUAGGGUCGUAAACCACUGUCAUGUGAGAGUAAGGCAUAUUAGUUAAUACCUAGUAUGUUUGAUAGUAUCACAAGAGGAAGGGACGGCUAACUUCGUGCCAGCAGCCGCGGUAAUACGAAGGUCCCGAGCGUUAUUCGGAAUCACUGGGCGUAAAGGGAGCGUAGGCUGUACGGUAAGUCAGAUGUGAAAUCUCAGAGCUCAACUCUGAAACUGCAUCCGAUACUGCCGUACUAGAGUAAUGGAGGGGUAACUGGAAUUCUCGGUGUAGCAGUGAAAUGCGUAGAUAUCGAGAGGAAGACCAACGGCGAAGGCAGGUUACUGGACAUUUACUGACGCUGAGGCUCGAAGGCUAGGGUAGCGAAAGGGAUUAGAUACCCCUGUAGUCCUAGCA
rnacentral:rRNA from 1 species